rnacentral:rRNA from 1 species
UACGUAGGUGGCAAGCGUUGUCCGGAUUUAUUGGGCGUAAAGCGCCCGCAGGCGGCUUGAUAAGUUUCAGGUGAAAUCUCCCGGCUCAACCGGGAGGGUGCCUGGAAAACUAUCAGGCUUGAGUCAUGGAGAGGGAUGUGGAAUUCCCGGUGUAGUGGUGAAAUUCGUAGAGAUCGGGAGGAACACCAGUGGCGAAGGCGCCUAUCUGGCUGACAACUGACGCUGAGACUCGAAAGCAUGGGGAGCAAACAGG